CAAAUGUUUACAAACUUUAGCAAGUAUUAAAGAACAGCUUUUGCCAUUCAAAGCUGAAUUGUGGAAAAAUCACGGGAGUAAUCUGAGUGUCUGAAAAACAAAUGAAAAGCAAGAAAAUGGCCGUUCUGCUGCUGGUGAUGCUGCUCUGUGCUGGGAGCUCAAUUGCUCAAGAUUUGUUGAUACGAACUGUGAACAUUAUUGCUGAGCUCGAGAAGCUAAAUCACGUGGAUGAAAGGAUACAAAAACUAGAAGAAACACUGACCAAAGUAUUGAGUGAGAUUGAAGGCAAAAAGGUUGCUUUCUCAGCUGGACUUCUGGCUUCUGAAAAGGCCCAAAUUGGGCCCUUUGCUGAUACCAGAAUUCUGGAAUACAAAAAAGUCUUUAGUAAUGUUGGAAAUGCCUAUGACUCAAAUACUGGUAUUUUCACAGCACCAGUAAAAGGAGUCUAUUACUUCAGAUUUUACGGUCAUUGUCAUGGUGGAACCACAAUGGCGGUCAAUCUCUUGAAGAAUGGUGAAAGCCAGUGCUCUGUGUAUUCUGCGCUCCCAGCUAGCAGUGGUAAUGCCAGCAAUGGUGUCGUUCUCACACUGGAGAUCGGUGAUCAGAUUUAUACACAACUUUGGAGGAACAGCUGGGUUUAUGAUGAUGCAGGAAGUUUCACUAGCUUCACUGGCUUUCUGAUUUUCCCCUUGUGAGCGUCUGAAUCUUAUCCUAUCCAGUUCCAGAUAAUUGUUCCUGUGUAAGUGAACUGUAUCUGAGUAAAUAAGAGCAAAUAGGAACAACAAAAGGGAGAUCAUUGUGUAUGCUUCUUAGUUACGAUAUGUUUAAGUCUGGAGUACUUCUUUCUUAAGUCUGAAAAUAAACCAAACAUGUCACCAAAA